GGGGGUAUAGCUCAGUGGUAGAGCAUUUGACUGCAGAUCAAGAGGUUCCUGGUUCAUAUCCAGGUGUCCCCU